rnacentral:tRNA from 1 species
GCGGGCGUGGCGGAAUUGGCAGACGCGCUAGACUUAGGAUCUAGUGCCAUAGGCGUGAAGGUUCAAGUCCUUUCGCCCGCACCA